rnacentral:rRNA from 1 species
AACGAACGCUGGCGGCAUGCCUAACACAUGCAAGUCGAACGAGACCUUCGGGUCUAGUGGCGCACGGGUGCGUAACGCGUGGGAACCUGCCCUUAGGUUCGGAAUAACUCCCCUAAAGGGGUGCUAAUACCGGAUAAUGUCUUCGGACCAAAGAUUUAUCGCCUUUGGAUGGGCCCGCGUUGGAUUAGCUAGUUGGUAGGGUAAAAGCCUACCAAGGCGACGAUCCAUAGCUGGUCUGAGAGGAUGAUCAGCCACACUGGGACUGAGACACGGCCCAGACUCCUACGGGAGGCAGCAGUGGGGAAUAUUGGACAAGGGGCGAAAGCCUGAUCCAGCAAUGCCGCGUGAGUGAUGAAGGCCUUAGGGUUGUAAAGCUCUUUUACCCGGGAUGAUAAUGACAGUACCGGGAGAAUAAGCUCCGGCUAACUCCGUG